rnacentral:rRNA from 1 species
GUUUGAUCCUGGCUCAGGAUGAACGCUAGCGGCAGGCUUAACACAUGCAAGUCGAGGGGUAACAGGUUUUAGUUUACUAGAAUGCUGACGACCGGCGCACGGGUGAGUAACGCGUAUACAAUUUACCUUUUACAGGAGAAUAGCCCAGAGAAAUUUGGAUUAAUGCUCCAUGGUAUUAUUUUGUGGCCUCACAGAAUAAUUAAAGCUUCGGUGGUAAGAGAUGAGUAUGCGUCCUAUUAGCUAGAUGGUAAGGUAACGGCUUACCAUGGCGACGAUAGGUAGGGGUCCUGANAGGGAGAUCCCCCACACUGGUACUGANACACGGACCAGACUCCUACGGGAGGCAGCAGUGAGGAAUAUUGGGCAAUGGAGGCAACUCUGACCCAGCCAUGCCGCGUGCAGGAAGACUGCCCUAUGGGUUGUAAACUGCUUUUAUACAGGAAGAAACUUAUCCACGUGUGGAUAACUGACGGUACUGUAAGAAUAAGGACCGGCUAACUCCGUGCCAGCAGCCGCGGUAAUAAGG